UACGUAGGUGGCAAGCGUUUGUCCGGAUUUAUUGGGUUUAAAGGGUGCGUAGGCGGCUUUGUAAGUCAGUGGUGAAAUAUGGCAGCUCAACUGUCAGGGUGCCAUUGAUACUGCGGAGCUUGAGUACAGAUGAGGUAGGCGGAAUUGACGGUGUAGCGGUGAAAUGCUUAGAUAUCGUCAAGAACACCGAUAGCGAAGGCAGCUUACUAGGCUGUAACUGACGCUGAGGCACGAAAGUGUGGGGAUCAAACAGG
rnacentral:rRNA from 1 species